AGGAAGGAGGAGAAGCGAAGCCAACAUGGAGGCAGACGAACCAGAAGGUGAUCCUGAUCCCAUGUUGUUUUUUAAACAGCCACAAGUAGCCAAGAUUUUCACAAGAAAACCCAGCAUUCUUUAGGAAUAUUCUCCAUAUUUGCAGAAGAAUAUCAGCUCAGAAGGAGAGAGGCAGAGACAAAAACAGAAAAAUUGACAAUCUACUUUUUAAUAGACAUUAAAAUUUGAAGUUCCAACAGAGA